AUUGAACGCUGGCGGCAUGCCUUACACAUGCAAGUCGAACGGCAGCACGGGUGCUUGCACCUGGUGGCGAGUGGCGAACGGGUGAGUAAUACAUCGGAACAUGUCCUGUAGUGGGGGAUAGCCCGGCGAAAGCCGGAUUAAUACCGCAUACGAUCUACGGAUGAAAGCGGGGGACCUUCGGGCCUCGCGCUAUAGGGUUGGCCGAUGGCUGAUUAGCUAGUUGGUGGGGUAAAGGCCUACCAAGGCGACGAGCAGUAGCUGGUCUGAGAGGACGACCAGCCAGAUGGGCUGAGAGAAGGGCCCGAGACCCUGGGGGGGGGAAGCGGUGGGGAAUUGUGAAGAAGGGGGAAGUGGGGAAUACAGCACGGCCGGGGGAGGAAAGAUGCCGCUGGGUUUGAAGAGCUUUUUGGGCCGGAAGGUAGUCAUGGUCUCUAAAACGGGGGGGGAAUGACGGUACCGGAAGAAUAAGCCCCGGCUAACUACGUG
rnacentral:rRNA from 1 species